UACAGAGGUCUCGAGCGUUGUUCGGAUUCAUUGGGCGUAAAGGGUGCGUAGGUGGCGCCGUAAGUCGGGUGUGAAAUUUCGGAGCUUAACUCCGAAACUGCAUUCGAUACUGCGGUGCUUGAGGACUGGAGAGGAGACUGGAAUUCAUGGUGUAGCAGUGAAAUGCGUAGAGAUCAUGAGGAAGACCAGUGGCGAAGGCGGCUAUCUGGACGGUUUCUGACGCUAAGACGCGAAAGCGUGGGGAGCAAACAGG
rnacentral:rRNA from 1 species